AUUGAACGCUGGCGGCAUGCUUUACACAUGCAAGUCGAACGGCAGCGCGGGCUUCGGCCUGGCGGCGAGUGGCGAACGGGUGAGUAAUGCAUCGGAACGUGCCCAGUAGUGGGGGAUAGCCCGGCGAAAGCCGGAUUAAUACCGCAUACGACCUGAGGGUGAAAGCGGGGGACCGAAAGGCCUCGCGCUAUUGGAGCGGCCGAUGUCGGAUUAGCUAGUUGGUGGGGUAAAGGCUUACCAAGGCGACGAUCCGUAGCUGGUCUGAGAGGACGACCAGCCACCGUGGGACGGAGCCGCGGCCGAGACUCCUACGGGAGGCGGCAGGGGGGAUUUUUGAACAAGGGGGGCAACCUUGCCCCAGCCAUGCCGCGGGCGGGAAGAAGGCCUGCGGGUUGUAACCGGUUUUUGUCCGGGAAGAAAUCCUGUGGCCUAACACCCCGGGGGAAGGAGGGAACGGGAAAAAAAAGCACCGGCUAACUACGGG
rnacentral:rRNA from 1 species